rnacentral:rRNA from 1 species
GCAACCCCAGGAUGGGCGAGGCCACCCGCCGAGUUUAAGCAUAUCAAUAAGCGGAGG